UUCCUCUUAGGUGAGAAUCACAAUUGGUGAUAGCUAUGCUGAGUUGCUUUUCUCCUCUCUUUACAGAGGUGGCCCAUCUUCUGCUAUGGUUUCGUUCGUUUGCUUUAAAAGAAACCACUGUGUUCUCAUUUCUUUUGCUAUAAACUAUCUUUCUUCUUAACAAGUGGUCCUCUUCCAUUUUUAUCACUGUACAGACAUAAAGCACCUAUUCUGUCAGUGGAAAUAACAAAUGCAGUAACCUGUUGGCCAGAACAAGUGGACGCUGGUGACAAGUAUUGAAUUACCAUGCCUAGAAUAUGCAUAUUUUUUUCAUGAUAUUCAGGCUUAAGAAGGGGAAAAUCAAGACCGUAGCACAGCUGCAGUACCGUGAAACAUUGCCACAGUAGAUAUUAUUACCUGUAAAGUUAACAAGGUUCUUUAAAUGCUUUUUAAAGUGAUAAAUGGUUUUAAUUUAUUUAGAAGCUACAGUAAAACAUAAUGGCUGAAUAACCUUAUGCGGCAUUUGAAAUUAAAAACAUGCAAAUGCCACUGUGGUUUGGGAGGUAUUUGUUUUACACCCUUUGCCUAGGACGACUGAUUUAGAAAUUGAAUGUGUGUGUAUAUGUGGGUGUGGGUACGUGCGUGCACGCAGGCUGAUGUUCACAGCUCGUGCUGAGAAUUCAGGCAUUUGAGAAGGCAAGGUGAGCACGUGUCAAGCAGUGUAUUUGUGGCUUAGGUUUUUGGGAUUGUUGUGUUUUGAGAGUAGCUAUUUAGAGAGAGUAGAUGCUAGUUGCUGACUUCACCUGAGCAGCUUGCUGCAUUGCUUAGGCGAAGUCCAGCUGAUAGUUUCACAGCUCUUAACAUCUUUUACUGGGAGAGUCAUCCAGCAUGACUCAGUUUGGUUAUUGCUGUCAGGGUGCUGCGUGCCUGAUAUCCUGGGUUGAGGUGACACCCAGCUGAUAACAAAGGGAUGGUUCUGUUCCUACUUAGCAGUGAUGCAUCCUGAUGAAAACAGAGCUAUGAAUAAAUGAUGGUUUGGUGAGACAAAGGGGCUUGAGGUUUUGGUUGACUGCAGGACAGAUCAGCAAGGGAAAAAAUGUCUAUGAGAAAUGGAUGCCUGGAUUACUUUCCAAAAGAUCCAAGAAGUGUCGUGGUCCAAAUAUUUCCUACUGCCAAGGAGCCCUUCCAUGGUGAAGUCAAGCGAAGAAGGAAAUCUGCAGUCAGUUCUCUUAAUAAGCAGGAAAGUCUGAGGUUGAGUUGCAUGGUAGGCAGGGCACACAGCAAAGUAGGAUAAAAUGGUUUAUUUUGAGAUAGAAACAACAGCAAGAAGCACAGCCAUGUUAGAUCCGUUCUCUUCUUUUCUGGAGAGCUGGGGAGAUGACUGGAGUCAUCAAAUGGAAGUGGAAGCCCGCAACUCCUUUCCAAAUGCUGUGUAAACCAUUCUGUUCUGCUCCAGCCUGGUAACUUAGCACAUUUAGGCGUGAAGCAAGUGAGCUGCGACUAAAUGGGAGGAAAGGCAGCUUGAGGUUUAGGGUGGAGGAGGAACUAGCAGCAGUGAGAUGAGAAAGAAGAGUCGUGGGGUCAUGGAGGAAGAGGAGCACAGAAGGCACCUUCAGCUCGGGAGUGGGCAGGAGGAGGAGAGCAGCUUCACUUUAGCAGAGAUGAUAUUUCAGCCCACAUUCAAAAGGGAGAGGUGUGGGUAGCAGUCCUGAGGGGAAAACUGAUUGCAGCAAAAUGAUGUGAGGUUGGAAGCCAGGAUGGGAACAUUAGAUGAAACUGGAUUUAUUGGGCAGGGAGAGGAGCAGAGCAACAGCACCAAGGAAUGAGUUUGCAGCAGUGAUGUGCUGGGAGACGUCAGGAGUGUGCCCAUGGGUCCAUCCAGAAGUGACAGGACUGUGCAGGGGACAUGGUACACCUCAGUCCCCUAGUUGGCUGAAGACAUCAGUGAUGUCAAGUAGGUAUGUGUGUGGCACAGGAAGGUACCAUUAUUUAAUCACAUCUAGCAGAUCUUCAGGCCCUCUGCUAUGGCUCUAUUUCCAGUGGGUUUCAUGAGGACAGUGACGGUGUACCAUGGGCAUGUGUCAUUGGGUGUUAUCCAUUGAUACAAUGAACUACAGCUAGUUGCUCUAGUUGAUUAUACAUCUUUCUGUGCACAUAACUAUUAUUCCCACCUGAUUUUUCACUCUUACUUACAAUAACAGCAUGUAGGUUGAAAGCUGCAAGUUCAUGUAGGAUAAGCUAUGACUCCAGUUUUCCUUAAUGUGUGUGGCAUAAUACUGUCAGAAAACACUGGGAGUUAGGGACCAGUGGAACAAGAAGUUGUUACUGCAGCCUUUAUUAAGUAGGUAAAUUGAAGGGAGAGAGUAGUAUAAGACUGAGACUAGGUUCUAGGUUCUGGAUUUAACGUUUAUCCGACAGGAAUCUUCGUGCCUUUCUUAUAUUCUUUAAAGAAUAUGUAAGUUCCGUUAUGUUUAGUAUAAGAAUAAUAAGUGGGGAUAUUUGGUGUAGAAAUGGUUUGGUGAUGGACUGGGUGAAUUCAUUUGACAGUUGGACUUGAUGGCUUUGGAGGUCUUUUCCAGCCUAAAUGAUUAUGUUGCAUGUUGUCAGUUGUGCUAAUGUAGCAGUAACGCUUUCUGUAAAGAUGGUAGUAAUCAAAUGAUGUGUAUUUUUUCACAAAAACCCUUGCUUGUAUCCUCAUCUGGGGCUCCUGAGGAGGCAGCUCCUUUGCAAACAGCCCAACAACCAGGAGUUUUUUUUUCUUUAUUCGUUAUUCGUUCUGUCUGUUUAAUCAGUGUCUUUGCUCCCUUCUGUUCUUCUUUGAAGCCUAUUGAUCCUUGCUAAUGAACACACGAAUCCUUCGCUCAGCACAGCUGAGAGCACUCAUUCCUUUGGAAGAGAAAUCUUUACCUUAAGUUUGCAUAGCUUUCUUUAUUCCGAGGACUCGUACUUGAUAGAGGCAGGGUUUGUUUUGAAAGCUGGAGACGUAUCGGCACAGUGUGUGUCUGUGCCUUCACUUGUGUGUUCUGGCCCCUCUCAUUUUCCUGGCUCCCCAGACUACUUAUCAGACUUAAGGCGGUUUUCACUCUUUUCAACAAAUACCAGCUUGUUCAUGUUGAUCAUGCUUGUGAGAUGAAAUUUCAUUUUAGCUAAUAAAUGAGUUGGUGGGGUUUUUUACCCUCAAAUCCAAUAGAAACAUGCUUGAUCUCGCAGUUUCCAUGCAUUUUUAACUGUUCUCAGUGUAAUACAUGUUUUAGAAAGUAGCAUCUGAAAGUCGUGUGAAGGAUGUUUUCUUGAAUUUUUCCAUUAGUUGCAUGAGGAAGAUGGCUGUUUCGGUGGCAUUUUUGCUUUUGGAGUCUGGGCAACCGGGGAGUUUUCAUCUUGUUUAUUCAUUUACCAGUUUAUUUUUGUUCUUCAGUACUUACACUCCCUCCUUAGGAUCUGGCUAUUAGCAAUUAUACCCCUUACUGAUUUUAUCCUUUUUCAUUAUCAACUUAGCAAGAUUUUUUUUUCCCAAGCACUUUAAAGAAUAAGUGGAUGUGGAUGAGCCACAUAUCUAUGUUAUAUAUUCAUGAAAAUUGUCAGUGAUGACACUGACAGAUCUGAUAGACCUACUCGAUAAGACAGUCUUCCAGACCAGACAAAGUUACCUCUAUGAGCAUUGAUUAGGUAAGUCUCUGCAGCCACACAGUGGAGUUGGCAAAAGGUGUUUUAGGCCAUGAUGAUCUCCUUGGGUGAAAAUGCACACGCAUAGACAGUCAUUUUGAGCUGUGUUCUUGGGUUGCUUGCUAACAGAUGGCUGUGUUGUCAAAGCAAACUGAACUCUCCACCAAAAAGGGCAACAUCCAUCUGUGUCAACACAUCGCCUGUCCUUGGCUGGGCCAGGCCUGUGGGAUGGAGGCCACAAAAUGAUGGCAGAUUCUCUGCUCCAAAGAUAAAGAAGGGUCUUGGACCGUGACUUUUCCAAAAUAAAUACCAUGUAAUAUUUGUGUUUGAAGGAAGAAAAAUAUCCUAAAACAUGGCUAAACUCCAACACUCUAUACCAUUAUCUUCUAAUUAUUUUGAAUGGGGGAAGAAAUGACAUCUAUCCAAGAAACUGUGAGUGGCUUACUGAUCCAGAACAUGUAGGAAGCACUACUGGGUUGAUGCGUGCCUUCCUUCACAGGCCCCCUACCUUCAGUCACUGUCCUCAUCAUCUGUAACCGUGCCUGAGUAAGGGCCAAGAAUUAGAGCAGCAGAAACUAAUUUCUGUACAGAGCGUGACUUUUUUUUUCCAGUCUCAGGAAUAAAGUAGGGAAUGCUGAGUACAUUAUUUCUCCAGAUUAUAAUAUUUUGCAAGUAGGUUAAAUUUUGAGUGUAAACCACUUGACAUUGUCCCUUUAAAUUACAUUUUGAGUCUACUACCAUGUCAGCCAGAUGUAAAACUGGUGAAGAAUAAUAAUAAAGCCCCAGAGCUUAGCUGUGGCAUAUAAACUAUUGUGCAGUUCUGCUCUGCCUUUGUGAACCAGGCUUUCCUUUCUCCUUAAUGGAAUUAGCAAGUGAGACAUAGAGCUGAACACCGUGCAUCCAUCACAGAUAGAGAUUCAUAAAAGCACUAGGAGAAUUGCAUCCUUGCAUAUAUGGAUUUACUUGGCUUUCAGUGCAGUAGGCUCUAUGUCAGAGGUUGUCACUGAACAGACAGAUGAGUUAGGGAAUGUCCUUGCUUUUACAGCAAAUCACUUAAAAAUUCAGAAAAAAAAUUAAGAAUAUAUUGUACUGUUUUUGACAGCUGUGUGGUAGCAGGAAUGCUGGCUGGCUGCGGCUGCUGCCCACACUCCCACACAUUCUUGGCAUUUGUGAGUACAAGAAUAAACCAGCUGAUGCAUUUGUUAAAAAUGCAAGGCAUUUAAAUGUUGCUAGGAUUGCUCGCUGCAUUUACUAGCGCAGUUAAAAUGCACAUCUGGUUUACUCAUAGUGAGAAUGCACAAAAGGUGACGUGUAAGCUCUUCAAAACUAUGAACUCUAAGACUAGACUUAGAAGUUGAACUACACAUUAUCUAAGUAAGACUGUAAAAUGUGUAAGAAAAAUAUAAUUUGGGAUUCUUCUGAAUGAUUUUCAAAGGCCAAUAAGAGAUUACUGUGCUCUGAUAGCGCCCUGCUCUCUGUCUCCUCUGCCGCCUUUCUGCUUCUCCAUCGUUGGUGAUAUCCAGAAGGAAAUGAAAAAGUGAAGAUAGAGGCCAGCUGGUAGGUUAAUAAAUCUCACUGUCAGCUACGUUUGAGCUCAAGUCUGACUGGCCAGCAAUGUCAGCUUGGUCCCCGAACCUUCACUUGUCCUGGGAGCUCUUUGAAAUGAAAAAUUGCAGCUGCUUCUUUUUGUCAUCUAACUCCUGGUUUUCAAAUGGCGUGGUGCAGAAAGUCCCACUCUGGCAUUUUUCUCUGUCAUCGUGAGGACCAGAUUAUUUCUUUCUAACAUAGGAAAAUCUGGAGCAUUAAUGUAAUAGUCUUGGUACUGGCAGUAGUUCGGCAUAGUGUUCUUACACAGAGCAGUCUGAAGUUCAUCUUUAAAUCCUGAGAGUUCUCCUUUACCUUUGAAUUGUAUUUGGUAAGCUGGAUAAAUAUGCCUCAUUUUUGGGGGAAUUUUUGGUCUUGCGUUUUUUAUUUGUUGUUGUUGUUGUUGUCUGCAUGGUUUUCUAAUGAGAGAAAUUGCACCUUUUCAUUACUUACAAUUUCCUGGUGUCGUGCUCAUGGAACCUGUAAUUGUUAGCAUUAAAACUGAAAUUGGGUCUCAGGUGAACUGUUAGACAUCUCUUUAGUGAGAUUUACGCAGCUCAAGGAAAAAAACAAGAAGAGCAUUUCCAUUUGUGCCUUUAAAGCGUAGCCCUUAAUUUAGUCAGUAAUGAAUGUGAAUCAAAAGUUGCGGAAUUGGUUUGUGCUUUUUUCCCCCUCUCGUAAACAAAUCCAGUAAUGUUGUGGAUGAGCAUUAGAAUAAAAGCUAUUUCAUUUGCGCAGAAGGGCAGUAGCCUGAAAAUAUGUAUGCCUAGGCAAAGAAUUUUAUCUGCAGGGAAUGAAUGGGAACAAGUGCUUGCAGCACCAGGGUGGACGCGGGCUGCCUAAGAGCCAUGAGGUUGGAUGAGGCUAUUCCUGUUCCUGCUCCACUGAAAUAUUUAAAGCCUUGGUUGUGAAUUGAGGUGUCAAGCUUUGUCAGGGGUCAUGGGCAGGAGAAGAGUUUGUAAUACAAGUUUGUUUUCCUAUCAGUUUGCAUCUGAACCUUGUAAGACUCAUAAAGCGUGUUCCAAACCCUGUCUUAUACUUUGCAAAGAACCUGGUGUGUUCUUUCUGCCUUUAUGCUGUCAUGUAAGCAGUUUCUAUAUGUUUUGUCUUGUUUGGAUUGCAGAAAUCUUCCUGAGCAGUCCAAACCUUUCAGUACCCACUGAUCUUUUUGUCCUCUGCUCCAUAUCCAUGGUUUUGCAUCAGAGGAGUGAGCAAAGAAAAUAAGAAGCUUUCCUAUUUACACCUGAAAAUGUGAUCCCUAAAACUCAACACAACUGGAAGCAGACCUGAUUUCUCAAGCUGUCCUUUACCUUCUUUCUAAAUAAGGCCACUAAAGAGAUAGAUCUGUCUGGACUUUGGGGGGAGUUUCUCUCACCCUCAGUCCCAUCAUUCCUCUGGGCUCCAAGCGCUUUCAUCAGCUCUGGCUGUCCUUGAAGGGCUGCUCGAGGUGGUGCCCAGCAGCUGUUUGCCAUCCGCAGCGCUCAUUUGAAUUAGUUGAUGGGUAUGAAGAAGUACUGUGGUGUAUUUUUAUGCAGAGAAGCUCUAUUUUAGGCCUCUGAAAAUGUGCCUUUAGGAGGGAUUCUUCCCAAGGAUUUGAGAGUUAAAGUUAUAAUGAGCUGCUGGAAUAUCCAUUUUCAGGAGACAUCAACAUUUAAGUAUUCGUAUUUGAUCUAGUCUGAAAUGUAAGAAAAAUAUUUUGAAAUAUUCAUAGAACUGAAUUUCCUCAGAAUUUUAUUUCAUAGGAUAUUUUGGCAUUCUUUAUGAAAUGUUAGAUAUCAAAAAUCAUGAGAUGAAAGCAUGUGACGGCUGUGAAAAAUAAGUUGUAUGUUAAGGCAAGUCGCUACUCAGAACUGACUGAAACAUCUUUUCCAGAAGGAGUAUCAUCGUGUCAAAUUACAGUACAAGCAGAAGAUAAUUUGCUCAUUUCGACACGUGAAAUGGUAACCUGAGCCUAGAGAUAGAUAAGACUUUAAUAUAGGCGUAGGAAUUGCAUAUGUGUCUGGUCGGAGGAAAAGAGGUUUGUUUAGGGAAGGAAAGAAAGUAAUGAUGUGUUUAUUUUCAGUAGACCUUUGGGCUGUGGGGGGGGAAAGUAGCAGUUUUUGCUUGGUUUCAUGUAUUUUGGUUAAGAAAACAAAGGCAGACAUGGUAUUCAAGCCUAUAGCAAGGGGUUGAAACUAGGUGAUCUUAAAGGUCCCUUCCAACCCAAACCAUCCUAUGGUUCUAUGGUCUGCUUUGCUGACUUGAAUUUUGAGUGGUUCCACUGGUUUUCGUUGAGCAUGUCUGCUAAAACCCACUUCUGGUACUUGCUGUUCAAGCUGUGCAGCAUGCGUGCUUAUGCUUUUCGUAUUUCCACACAUUCUGUGUAUUAGAUGCUGAAAUGCUCAGUGAAAAGAACUCGUGGCUUAAGCAAAAUGGAUACCCCUGAUAGGGAGUAGGCAAUGCUGUGGAGUAUGUGGCAUUUUGCAUAUCAGCUCUCCUUUUUGCACUGCCUCUUUCCAAAGAAGCAUUGCUGCAUGUUCAGGUGGUGGAGGUGCACAUCUGGACCAGCAAGCAGGAGCAAGUGCUGUUAAAAAGCAAGACUGGUAAAGCAGCAUCCACUUGCAUAGCAAGGUGACUUCUUCCCCGCCGAGGCUGUCAUGUAGCCUGUACCCAUCAGCGUUAGGUUGGCUUGAAGCUCCCCUCCUGGAAUGCAACAGCUGUAACCAAAAUGUGCUGUUAUGUAAGCAGUGGCAGCUCAUCUCGUAAUUUGAUGGGCGCUGAAUUGAAAUGCAGUUCUUUGCCCACCACUGUUGUGUGUUUUAGACAGCAUUACAUAAUGGCAAAAAUAGUUUGCGGGGGGUGGGGGUGGGGGGGAUGGUUGGAAAUAAAAACCCUUUCCUGUGGUUUUAAUCUCCCUCUUUCAUCUGUGGUUUAAAGCUGUGUCAGGUGUACAUUGAAAACACCCUCUCCCCAGGGUAUUUCAUUUACAAUUUCAUUUCAUAACGGAAGCAUACUUGCAUCUAGUUAGGAUGGGAAAGGAUUAAGUAUAACAUGUUCUGAAGCCAAGUGGUGUACAUCUUUCCUGUCUGUGUGCUCUGCAAAUGAAGUAGCCAGGGAAGGGCGUGCUGUUGGUCGAUAAUACCCAAACUGAUAAACUGUUAGUGUUUUGUCUGGCAUCAUGUAUGCUAAACAUCUUCUGCUGUGGCCCGCCUCAACUAGAGCUGCCACUGGGCUCAGGCACAUCUGGCGCUGCAGAUUUUUUUUUCCUGUCCUGUGUUUCAGUGAUUUAAAGGGCCUUGGCUGGGCGGGAGGAUGUCAGCUGUUUUAAGUGUGGUUAGAAGAGGGAGUGAGAUUUAAAGAGGCAGGAGGUAACAUUCUGGCCUCGUUGAGGCUAAUGGGAGAACGGCCGCUGAAUUUAAAUGGCUUUGUGAUUUCUCUGGGCCUUUUUAAUCCAUCUUUGUUCUUAUUAAAUUUUCAAUUUCUAUAAAUUGCGCUUUUUCUUUUUUAUUUUAAUCCGUUCAGCUUCUCCCCCUUAGAAUAUCAGUGCCAGGGGCAUGUGCUGAGAUAAAGUGUACCAAUCCUGCUAUUUAAACAAAUGCCAUCCCUGCAGCUCCCUUCUGCUGCAGUUAUGUAGGGCACUAAUAGAGGUGUGUAAAAAUAGUGAGUGCAGGUAUUUGUUUGUACAAGUGAAUCUCUUGAUAGACUUCCGUGGCUGUGCUUGUCCUUGUGACAGGCAGUGAACCUCAGGAUGUGAAGAAGCUCUGCCUUUCUCUGUGCUAACAAAUAGCCAUAUGAGGUCUCUACUCAUGACCCAUCUGGUUGUGUCUCAGAGUAUUGGUGUGGAGAGGCUUUCCACAGAGAUUUGAAUGGGAGAUAGACAUCCCAGGGACACCAUAACAAACUGGGGGUCAACUGCCACAUCUUGUUUACAGAUUCUUUUAGGGGCACUUUCAGCUCUUGCAGCUGGUGGUUGGUGUGCAGCAAGUCCUCUAGCAGUGGGCAGUCUCCUUGCCGCAUCUCAAUGAUAGACCUUUAUCAUUUGAAUAACAGAAUAUUUGUUAUUCAAGUCUGCAGUUUACGUGCCGGGAUUGGCUCCUUUUGCUGCAAAACCAGCAACAAGCAGAGGUUUGGGGCUUGGUCCUACUAUUGUCUUCUCCUGUGUUUCUGUGAUUUCAUGGUUUAGUGACAGAUGGGAAAUGUAGCAUAUUUUUGAUAAAUUAGAUAGAAGAACAUGGAAGUUUCUGCUGCAGUGGCAUUUUAUAUUGUUGUACUGUUUUCUUCUAUACUUAAAACUGAGAAUAGUUAGGGAUGUCUUUCCAGCUUCAGACACGGGAAAGGAAACAUACCAAACUCCUCAUUUACCCAGUGGGAAUUUCUAACGUAUGGUCUAUUAAAAGCUGAACAGGCACUAAGGAUUGCAGCAGCAGAACGGUGCAGAUACAGAAAGCCAAGUUGUUGGCUGUGUGAUCCUAUUGCCAUCACCUUUUUAUGAAGCAGGAGUCGGGGGAGAUGGGUGAAUGGAGGCCAGCAAACUGCGGAGGAUUCAUUUCUCCUAAGUAAUGAUUGCUGUUGUCUAACAUGCAAAUAAAAUGUAUUAAUUUCUCCAGCUAACCUGAACAAAAGCAGUGACAAGCUAGGCUCUAUCCAUGCUUUUCAGUCUACAUUGGGCUUCUCUCUUGAAUAGUCUUUGGUCAUUCAGGGUCAUGUUCUGGUAACUGAAAUAACUAAGGUUUGCACAAGGGAUAUGCAAGGUACGUGGUUCAAGAAGCAUUCAAAAUACCGUGAAGAGGAGCUGGGCUUUUUUUGCUUCAGUCUCCUGUUUUCUUACACAUCGUUGCCCAAAAUUCUGCAGUUCUUUGUUCAGUUUCCUGGAUUAAUUCUCUUGGGCAGAAUGUUCUUGCAAGCACGGAUGUUGUGUUGGGAAAGAAGAAAAAGGACGGAAGGGAGCUGGUGGGUGUUACAUGCCAGCACGGCAGCACCUUAUAGAUAUAAGCCCUCCUGUGAAGGAGAAAAGCAGAAUAUUGUUUAGAGUAAUCAAAAUGGACUAUAAAGUUAUUGCAAAACUAGCGAUGUGGAACCUUCGGGUUGUCAGAAGUGUUGAAGGAAACACUGUGAGGCCAAAAUGCUGUCCUUGUCUAGUCUGUCACACACCAGGGCUAACCUUUCCAUCUGCAUGCCACCCGUCAAACCUCUCUGGCAGGUUUGCCAUUCACACUUGCUCUCAAUCGUAAUUUUCUGAAAGCUUUGCUCGAAGCAUGCAACCAAACAGUAAAUUCUAGCAGCAUUGUGCUGGCAGGCCUAAAAAUAAAUCAGAGACCUUUUCAAAUAGUGCUUCGUGCCAUCCAUUGAUCCCAGUGGAAAACAAUCUCAGACCUGGAGUUCCUAUUGGAAGUUAGGGGACAGCCUGGUAACUGGAUUAAGGUAUGCUUUUGUUUGCAGCAGCGUCUCAAAAUGAAGCUCCUGCUUUGUUGCAUUGAUUGUCUGCCUGGUCUUUUUGCCAGUAAAAGCCACUCACAUCACUGCUGAGACGGGAUGAGGUUUCAUAGAAAAUAUACCGCCAUGCUGUUGCAUAGUGUGUGUGUGUUCCUCUGAAUGUAAUCAGGGAAACACAGCGGAUAAGUACACCUCAGCACUAAUGCAAGAGUGCGCUUUGUUAAUCCGCAGUUAAAUUGCCUAAAAGCAGUUUUCAGCAACAUGGUCCUGAAAAAUUGGAAGAGUCACUAGUUGCGUCAGUGCUAAAACUCCUGCCAGCCCCCUUCACAGGUGCCAGAGCUGGAACUGUUAAGAGCUGCAUGGUGGCCCACCAAGCCAAAUCCCCUGGGUCCUGAGAGCAUCAUCUUUCCCUUCUUUCAUCCUAAGAAGGAAAAGGUGCAUCCUUGGUGGACAGACAGACCACUGCAACCCUUUAUUUCUAUAUGGGCUCCAAAUGCAUAGCAUCCCAAGCCCCUCCCUUUACACCUUCCUGGUUAUGGGAAUUGUCGUUCAUCAUGUAGCUGUCCCCUGUAGCAAAGCUGGUUGAUCAAUCCAGCCUCCUUCUGCACAUCAAUAUUCUUGACACCCAUCUUAAAACCUUGCUCGUGCGUAUCCAUCUACUGUUGGAAUAGCAUCAGAAGGGGACAGAUAUUGCUAUUUUUAGGGUAGUGUCAAAAGUAUUUAAUCAGCUUCCUGGUGCCUCAUCCCAUUUGUCGUAUUGAUGCUAUCUACCAAAUAAGAGGGCAUGAAGUUCCUUUAGGAGCACAUUGACAGAUGGGUGAAACUCUAUUAGCCCUGGUGAAGAAGGCUGCAGCCCUCGGUAAAGGUGAGUUCUGUGGUUCUUGUGCCUGCCGUUAUAGUCAGGAAGCUCCUGUUGUCACCACCUGACAGAAGGGUGCAUACAGGAGGGUGUUCCACUUCAUGUCAGCAAGGUGGGAUGACCUUGGGGUGGUCUUGUCACUGCCUGGUAUCUGGGGUGCACUGUGAGCCGGGGACAGCUGAUUCCGCAUCAUCCCAUUAUGUGCUGCAAGUGGCAGCAGCACUUCCACACUUUCUGCUGACACCCCAGUACUGUACAGAAGAAUCUCCAGCUGCACCCUUGGCUGUGCUUUGGGCUGAGGUGUCAAGGGUCUGUGUUCUCCAUACGCACCAUGGUGGGUGCUCCUCCUGCUCAGUGAUAAUGCAGCAAAGGAGCAGAUCUUUAAUUCACAGAUAACAUGUUAGUCUGUCUUAAGCACUAGAACUGGGAUGUCUUCUUCACACUGCAGGCUUUUAGAAGGCAAUGUAUUCAAGUUGAAACUUUGCCCAUAUGCCAUCUGUUCCAGCCUUAUCUUUCUUUGACAGGCAGGCUGCAUAUGUAAUGUCCGUUUGGCUUUCAUGGUGUAAUGUGAAGUUUCAGAGGUCCCAAGUAGUUCUUGCGGCAAUCUCUGCUCUUGUUCCUAAGUGACAGACCCUCACCAAGAAUCAUUUCUAGCUUUGUAGCUAUGGUGAGCUUAAGCCACUGCCUUUUUUUCAGGUUGACCACAAGUUCCAUUGGAUGUCUGAGGCCUAUUUGGAGAUAUUCAUGUAUCCUGCAGAUUCUGUAGCCAUUGCGUAGGAAAUCUUAAGGUCUUGCUGGUUUGAUUUCCGCACACUCUGUUUGCUACCAAGGUUGGAGCUGCAAUUCAAAAGACCAGUGUAUAGAUGCCAUUGAUAGCCAAGGCUGCCAAGUCAGGAAAAUGAGUUGUUUCAGUUUUUUUUAGCUGCUUAGGGAGGAUGAUAGUUCUCAGAAAGCUCUGCUUUAGUGAAGACAUUGCUUUGGAGUAGCAGCAGGCUCUGUUUACUCAAAGGGGAAAGAAAAGUGGAACCGUCCUAUGCAAAUGAUGGCAUUUGGAAAUGUCAUAUAGCUGCAUCUACAUAUAAAUAAGCUGCUCUCUGAGCGCUGCAUUAGCAAGGCUACUUUGAUAUAGAAAUUGCAUGAUAGUACACAAAGCGGGAACAGCGGGACACCACUCGGUUACGUUUGAGUUUUGUUCCUAAAUCACCACUUAGCUAACUGCUGUUGCUCUGUCAGCACACAUAGGAGAAACGGCUGAGUUUGCUCUAGGGGAGACGUUUAGUGUUUCUAAGCGCUGCAUGGGGCUGCACAGCAGGGAUGGAGGUGCAGGUCUUGCAUUGGGGAGCUUGCGAAGUGCAGAAAGUCCUCUUUCUGGGACUCACUGGCUUGUACCUGGGAGAUAGCACAUAGGGUUUUGUGGUUCCUGCAUAAUUUUGCUCUUAGCCGCCUUUUGUCUCACUCUGCAGAUCCAUGCCUGUUUGCUGCAGAGGCUACGCAGUUCAGUCAUACAAAGAAGCAACUUCUGCCACUAAAGCAUUCAUAAACAGGGACGGUGUUUUCAUCUCUGUUUAACCUGAUCUUAAAGAGCAAGUUGCAGAUCUCCAGCAGAGUUUUUUAGAGGGGAGGAUGUGCAAAGGGAAGCCAUAGUCCAUUUUUGACCACCUCCAGCAUUGGCAGUACCGAGUACUGGAGGAGAGGUGGAUGGCCAGGAAGGCGAGCCAUCUGCUGGGCCAUCGAGGACCUUCUCACUAAAGCAGUGCAAUCUGUUCUGCCCGUGCUGUGCCACGUGUGAUGGAUGCAGCCUUUGCCUUCGGGCACACAGCCUAAUUGGAGGGAGCCUUACAAAUCUCCAUACUGACACCAACUUUUUUCCCUAACAGAAUGACAAUAAUGAUAAUGUUAACUCAUCCUCUUAAGGGCUCUGUUAUGAGCCACCUAAGGAGAUCAUAGAGGAGGAGAAACACCAUCACUUUAUUCCUUUACAGGCCCAGCUGCUUGGCUGGUUGGUGAGCGGGGAGGGAGCAGCUUCUGUGUGGCCAGCAUUGCCUCUCUGGUGCAGGGGGACCUGAGUGACAGGGACAUCAAUGGCAAGUCAGAGACGGGCUGAGUUAGCACAAUGAGGGAUUUUAUCUAUUUUAGGAAUGGUGUUAGUCAGAUUUAUUCAAUCCUGGAACAAAAGAAGAAAGCCCAAACUGUCAGGUCCCUUCUACCCAGGGUUUUGAUACGUCUACAACAGGGCCUCGUGCCGUUACAUUUCAUCCAUAGAAAUGAUUGCAGGCUCGGAGACCUGCCCUUGCAGUGAUGGUCUUUUAGAAGUCUGGUUUAUCCCCAGAAGUGUGGGGAGGUGCAUUGAGGUCAGCUCACACAGAGACGAUCUGGGGAGCUGAAAGGCCUCCUCAGUUUCAUGGUGAUAACAUAACAGGCCCCUGUGGUGGGUGGCAUGCACCAUGCUGCACCCAACCUGGAACUGUGCAGUGAUGAACCUGAGUGUGGAUGAAUUUUGUAACCUCUGCUUCAACAAGAGGUUAUGUACAGGUCACUUGGUGUCAAGCGGUCUUUUCCAGUAGGGAAGAAACAACCACAAGCGCUACAAGAAGAGGUACUUUUGCAUUUCAGAAGUUCAGGGUUAGCUCUAACGUAUAUGGCAUAGUAGAAACGUAUCUGCUGGCUGGCUUAAAAUAUUAUGUUGUCCAUUUGAAUAUCUGGGGGCUAUUAGUGUCUUAAUUCAUUCACUUCUGUAAUAAAUUAUGGCAGCAUGUUGAAUAAUGAUGAUACACCGUGCAGAAAAGAGGGGACAGUAUUUUUUUUUCCAAGUGUAUUAGAACAUCCUACCAUCAUCUGAAAUGUAAAAAGCACUAGAUUAUUUUUAAAAAGGAAAGUGGAUGUUAGCUUAUUCUGGGAAAGUCAUUUGCAUGGGACAUUUAAAAUUAAUAAAUUGCUGUGUCGAGCAAGUCUAUUUUGUGCCUGAGAAAAGAAGUGAAUGUCAUUUAAUUCAUAAGGUUCCAUUUCUUUUUUCCUCUUGUUGAAGUAGCUAAUGUAGAGAUGGUAUUUUUGUGCUCUUCGUGUAGGCAGAUUAGCCUGAAAUGUGUACUUGGGUGGCUGCAGGAUGCAUUUAGCCCAGGGCUACAGCACGCUGGUGCCAGCCAUCAUCAGCUGACAUUUGGUGUCUCUCCUCCACUGCUUCCAAGGGGAGUGGGCUGGUGAAUCCCCUUUGGAGUGGCAGUGAGCACUUCCUCCUCAGUUUCCAGUCCCAUCGCCUACUCAAGCAGCAGCUGUCAAGCAGAUUGCUUCCAUGUAUUUUCUUCUUUGUGUAGAGACUGUUUGCAAGAUCUCCAGCAACAAGGUGUUAACAACAAAGUACUGCGUCGAGAUAAUUAAUAGGUCAGGGCAUGGUAGCUGCCAAGGAGGAAGUAGGGCUGUGCUGGUGGACUGUAGAGUCAGGAUUUGUCGGGAUGCUCCUUCAUUGCUAGUGAGGAGGAAGCCUGCUGAUGGACCUCUCCCUCACAGUUGCUGUGGGGCCUCAGUUCCUGUUAGGUGCUACCAGAGUGGGGGAAGGUGCCAAAAAACCUGCUAGAGCAGUUCUGAACUUUGGGAUGUGACACUUCUACUUCGUUCCUCCUGACUUUGCGGUAGCAUAUUCUAGUUUCUGCAUGUAGUGCAAGCAUUGCUGGGUUGAGGAAGCUCCCUUUUUUCCAAGAAGAGCAGCAGAUGAGCACCCUGGCCUGUCCCUUGGCUUAUCUGCAGCAUGAGGGUUUCCAUCCCCAGGCAGUCACUCUCGCGAACUUCAUGGCAUCCUUCCUUGGACCUUCAUUUAGAUUUCAGGUAAAAACAGCCUCACCAUGACUGUCAUACAGAUCAGAAGAGCUUUGUUAAGUAAGUUCCCAGUGCUGUGCUCUGCAGCAUCCCUGUGGGAGAGCUUCUAAGGGUGUAGAUGGAGGAAAGAGAUUUCCAAAAGCAGUUGGGAAAAAAAAAACAAAAAACAAGCUUCAUGCCUCUGCUUUGCUGAAGAACUGGAGCUGCCUUGAUUUUGUCGCUUGACAAGUAGGUUCCCAUUGCUGGACAGACUGCUUCAUGGUUGGAGUUUUAGCUUCCACUGAGACCCUCACUGAGAAUCAUCUUGGUGCUCAUUCAGUUUCCAGAGACCUUGGAGAAAAGUCAUACAGUUAAACUGUAAGUUUAAAGAAUAUCUGAAAUAAUUCUUCCAUC